GUGCAUAGACAGCCCUCCGCGUCACGGAACAUGUGUAUGCCUUCUCUCUCACCCACCUAACGCCCACCAAACACGUCGGACCUUCGGUCACCUUCGCACGCAGCGACGACCAGCCUCAUCAGCGCCGCGAGCAUACUCGGCUUGGCUCCACACUUUUCGUUGUGUAUUCCGCGCUGUUUUGCUCCAACACGCAGAUGUCUGCCAAGUACCCGCCCGAGAGCAAGUCACCGCACAACAGCAGCGGCGAGGAGGAAGAGGAGGAGGAAGAGGAAGACGAGGACGAUGAGGAAGAGAUCGAGGAGUGGACGGAGGUGACGCCGCUGAGCGAGCUGGCGGAGCUGGAGGACGGCCCUAGCAGCCACUUCGUCGGCGGCUUCAGUGUAUGCAACCAUCUCGGCGACGCCAUCGACCGCGUGCAGUUCAAGGAGGACAUUGUGCUCGUCUUUCCUGGUGUUUACGCAGCAGCCUCGUCCUCCUCGCCCUCCUCUUCGUCACCGCUGGAGCUGAACGAGGCGCAGCUGGGAGGCCUGCGCGUUUACAGCGUCUCCUACGCCCGUGAACAUUCAUCGCACGGUGGAAGCAAGAGGGCAGCAGAGCCGCGUUACAUGUCGCCGUCCAAGCGCCGUGUUGGGCCAUGGUUCACCUACCUUACGGCCGCAGCGGCAGCUGUGUUUCUCGCUCAGGGCAGCAGCGGCGGUGGUACCAAGUACGCGAAGUCCAGCAAGGCACACAACCCCUUAGAGGCCGCCGCCUUGAAGGCAGUGGAGGCGAUAGACAGUCGGAAGGCCGCCUCGACAACCACCAUGCACACCACAAGUGGCUCCAGCGUGUUUGCGCCGGCGAUCACCGCCACCACAGCGAAUCCGCAGCUCUAUCCCGUGUUCGAUUUCCCCAUCUCCAUUGCGUAUACCAAAGAGCCCGUUGAUGCCGCGGCUUCGUCGACCUGUGGGCUGCCCCACUACAUGCAGCAGGCGCAGGACAGCGACGAAGAUGAGGAAGACGAGGAAGCCAACGAGACGGGCGGUGGCGACGAUAGCGGGGCCGAGCAAGAACAGGAAGAACCCGGCGCCGGCGCUUUGCGAGAGGAGGUGGCCAUCACCCUUGCCGGCCUGUGCGCGCGCGCUGGCGUGACGAUCGGCGCCCUUACGCGUACACACAUCACCCACUGCGUUAUCGGCUCUCCGCAGCAGCAUCCGACGUCAUCCGAAGCAAGUACUGUCGCUCCGCGAAUCGCCAUCACAGCGGCGCCGCUAACGGAGGCGCUAGUGGAUCACUGCCUUGUGUAUGGAGGAUCGGCCUACGGACUCUACGCCUAUCCGCGCUGUGCUCUAGCGAUGCGCAGCUGCAUCGUGGAAGGGCCAAACACAGAGGCUGCCACGUAUAACGCCGCCAGUGCCUCCGCUGCCAGCGCAGCCUCCGCGGGCGGUAGUUGUGGCGGCUCUGCCCUCGCACAACUGCAGCGGCGCCAAGCGCGCACGCAGUUGCUGCGCCGCUACAUGGACCGCUUCGAAGAGGACCAGGCCCACGACACGGGCGCUAGCGGACGUGGGGGGGAAUCUCGCGACAUUGAGGAGGGUGUCCUUCCGCGCUUCUGCGUACCUGGUGCGAGCGCUGCUGGCGCGGAUGCCAUCCCGAUGCCGUGCGAAGUCGCCAUCAUGUGCGAUGACGCUGAUGUGCAGCUCACAGACUGCCUCAUCACCCACACCCGGCACGGUGUGCUCCUGCACGGUGGCUGCGCCGGCACAGUGGUUAAGAGCUUAUCGGUGCGCAGCAUUGCGGAGGUAGGCCUCUACGUGUACGGGAUGGCUGGUGCAGCCGAUGUGCAGUACAGCUCAGUGCUUGCGUGUGGGCUGGCGUGUCUGCUGGUGGUUGGCCCGUCUGCUGCCCAGGUGGCCGCCGCAGAGGCCGAGCUUCCGGCUCGCCCGUCCGAAGAAGACGAGGAGGAGGGCACUGAGCAGUCCGAAGAUGGCCAAGACCGGCGUCGCCCGAUAUUUUCACAGCACCCGCACAUUCGAUCCAACUGCUUUAUCGGGGCCGUCCGUGUGCAGGGCGAGGUGCGUAGCGGUGCCAUGGUCGACAAUCUUGUCUUCCUCCCUCGUGACGAGCAAGGUGUGGCCGCCGCGGCAGCAGCUGGUGCGCAGACGGUACUCAGCGUGCCUGCCGACACAGAGCGCAGCUUUGCGUAUGUCGGGAUGGAGGGAGAGCGGGUCCCGGCACGUGCGGCAGACGAGGCCGCCGCAGCGUAACGGGCAAGCCUUUGCUCUCUUGCCCCUCCCCCGCCCCCGGCCCUCUACUGCUCAUCUCUGCGCACGGGCGUGUUGUCACGUUCUCUCCCUCUUUUGCGGGUGUGUGCGUGUGUUUGCCUCAAGCGACUGCGUGUGCGUCGCUGAUGUACAUCAAAGCAUGGCGCUCCUGUGCUGUUUGUUGUGGCAUGUUGUCGUUGCACUUCUCCAUCUUCACUGCCGCCUCGCUCACAGGGGCGAGAGCUGAUUGGGCAUCUGGAGAGCGUGAGUAGUGGACGUGUGUGUGUGUGCGUGCGGGUGCGUGCGGGUGCGUGCGCGUCAACAUAUGUAUAUGUAUGCAUGUAUAAAGGAAGUGUGAGUAGGGAAGGGGGAGGGGUCCUUCUCUUCGGUAUUUGUGUAGGAGGCUCAACACGCGUGCCCGAUCGGUAGCCGGCGUGCGGCCUCGACGGCCGCACGACUCCCCUCCCCCUACUUUCCUGAUUCCCCAGCGUGUUGCGUGCGCCCGAAAGGACAGUUCCACAGCGCGACGCACGAAAAGCAAACACGAAAGGCGGAGCGAGAGAGCCAGCCAACCCCCUUUGCGCAAGCACGAGAGGAGUGGGGGUGGGAAGGGGAGCGGCAUACAGCCCUGCAAGGAUCAGGUGCGGGCGCUGGCGCCGUCCACACGCAUCGUUUGCUCGCGAUCGUGUUCACGGGUACGGAUACGCGUGUGUGGCCAUCUGCCCGCUGCGUCAGUCCUUGUGCGCCGAUGAGCUGUGUGCGUUCGUGUGUGUGUGUGUGUGUGCUUGUGCCCUGCAUGUGUCGUGCGUGCAUCGCCGUGCGAGGGUGUGUGACAGUCAACGAGGUUGUGGCGCUCUCCUAUCACACUGCCUUGGCGACGGCGAGGGAAGGGGAGAGGGGAAGGGCGGGUUGGUGCCAUGAGCUCCACUGUAACUCUCGUGCGCCGCUCAAUCUUUCCUGAACCCCCCCCUCUGGAUCUCUCUCCCUCUGUGUUCACUCGUGCACAUGCAUAG
rnacentral:misc_RNA from 1 species